rnacentral:lncRNA from 1 species
GGGGGGCGUUUGGAUGCCACGGGCUAAACUUUAGCCCUGUCACAUCACACGUUCGAAUGCUAAUUAGGAGGAUUAAAUAUGAGCUAAUUAUAAAACUAAUAGCAGAACCCCUAGGCUAAAUCGCGAGACGAAUCUAUUAAGCCUAAUUAAUCCAUCAUUAGCGAAUGGUUACUGUAGCACCACAUUAUCAAAUCAUGGACUAAUUAGACUUAAUAGAUUCGUCUCGCGAUUUAGCCUAGGGGUUGUGCAAUUAGUUUUGUAAUUAGACUAUGUUUAAUACUCCUAAUUAGUGUCCAAACAUCCGAUGUGACAGGGGCUAAAAUUUAG